rnacentral:rRNA from 1 species
UACGGGGGGAGCAAGCGUUGUUCGGAUUUACUGGGCGUAAAGGGCGCGUAGGCGGUCAGCACAAGUCAGUUGUGAAAUCUCCGGGCUUAACUCGGAAAGGUCAACUGAUACUGUGCGACUAGAGUGCAGAAGGGGCAACUGGAAUUCUCGGUGUAGCGGUGAAAUGCGUAGAUAUCGAGAGGAACACCUGCGGCGAAGGCGGGUUGCUGGGCUGACACUGACGCUGAGAGACGAAAGCUAGGGGAGCGAAUGGG